rnacentral:rRNA from 1 species
GUCUGAUUAUGGCUCAGGAUGAACGCUGGCGGCGUGCUUAACACAUGCAAGUCGAACGGACAUUUAAUGAAACCUAGUGAUUUAAAUGUUAGUGGCGGACGGGUGAGUAACGCGUGGGUAACCUGCCUUACACUGGGGGAUAACACUUAGAAAUAGGUGCUAAUACCGCAUAAGCGCACAGCUUUGCAUGAAGCAGUGUGAAAAACUCCGGUGGUGUAAGAUGGACCCGCGUCUGAUUAGCUAGUUGGUGAGGUAAUGGCUCACCAAGGCGACGAUCAGUAGCCGGCCUGAGAGGGUGAACGGCCACAUUGGGACUGAGACACGGGCCAGACUCCUACGGGAGGCAGCAGUGAGGAAUAUUGCGCAAGUGGGGGAAACCCUGACGCAGCGACGCCGCGUGAGUGAGGAAGGCCUUCGGGUCGUAAAGCUCUGUCAAGAGGAAAGAAGUGUACAAUGGCUAAUACCUGUUGUAUUUGACGGUACCUCUAAAGGAAGCACCGGCUAACUCCGUGCCAGCCGCCGC